rnacentral:rRNA from 1 species
NNNNUAACAAGGAUUCCCCUAGUAACUGCGAGUGAAGCGGGAAAAGCUCAAAUUUAAAAUCUGGCGUCCUUCGGGCGUCCGAGUUGUAAUCUGGAGAAGCGUUUUCCGCGCCGGACCGUGUAAAAGUCUCCUGGAACGGAGCGUCAUAGAGGGUGAGAAUCCCGUCUUUGACACGGACUGCCGGUGCUUUGUGAUACGCUCUCAACGAGUCGAGUUGUUUGGGAAUGCAGCUCAAAAUGGGUGGUAAAUCCCAUCUAAAGCUAAAUAUUGGCGAGAGACCGAUAGCGCACAAGUACCGUGAGGGAAAGAUGAAAAGAACUUUGGAAAGAGAGUUAAACAGUACGUGAAAUUGUUGAAAGGGAAACGCUUGAAGUCAGUCGCGUUUGCCGGGAUUCAGCUCCGCUCUUGCGGGGUGCACUUUCCGGUCGACGGGUCAACGUCGGUUUCGAUCGGUGGAUAAAGGUGAGGGGAAUGUGGCACCUCCGGGUGUGUUAUAGCCUCUUGUCGGAUGCAUCGGACGGGACCGAGGACCGCAGCGCUUGCGCUAAGGAUGUUGGCAUAAUGGCUUUAAGCGACCCGUCUUGAAACACGGACCAAGGAGUCUAACGUGCAUGCGAGUGUUAGGGUGGUAAACCCGGACGCGUAAUGAAAGUGAAAGUUGGGAUCCUCGCAAGGGGUGCACCGACGCCCGGCCUUGAACUUCUGUGACGGUGCUGCGGUAGAGCAUGUGCGUUGGGACCCGAAAGAUGGUGAACUAUGCCUGAAUAGGGCGAAGCCAGAGGAAACUCUGGUGGAGGGUUGUAGCGAUUCUGACGUGCAAAUCGAUUGUCGAAUUUGGGUAUAGGGGCGAAAGACUAAUCGAACCNNNNNNNNNNNNNNNNNNNNN